rnacentral:rRNA from 1 species
GACGAACGCUGGCGGCGUGCCUAAUACAUGCAAGUUGAGCGAUGAAGAUUGGUGCUUGCACCAAUUUGAAGAGCAGCGAACGGGUGAGUAACGCGUGGGGAAUCUGCCUUUGAGCGGGGGACAACAUUUGGAAACGAAUGCUAAUACCGCAUAACAACUUUAAACAUAAGUUUUAAGUUUGAAAGAUGCAAUUGCAUCACUCAAAGAUGAUCCCGCGUUGUAUUAGCUAGUUAGUGAGGUAAAGGCUCACCAAGGCGAUGAUACAUAGCCGACCUGAGAGGGUGAUCGGCCACAUUGGGACUGAGACACGGCCCAAACUCCUACGGGAGGCAGCAGUAGGGAAUCUUCGGCAAUGGACGAAAGUCUGACCGAGCAACGCCGCGUGAGUGAAGAAGGUUUUCGGAUCGUAAAACUCUGUUGGUAGAGAAGAACGUUGGUGAGAGUGGAAAGCUCAUCAAGUGACGGUAACUACCCAGAAAGGGACGGCUAACUACGU